ACGCUGGCGGCGUGCUUAACACAUGCAAGUCGAACGGAAAGGCCCUGCUUUUGUGGGGUGCUCGAGUGGCGAACGGGUGAGUAACACGUGAGUAACCUGCCCUUGACUUUGGGAUAACUUCAGGAAACUGGGGCUAAUACCGGAUAGGAGCUCCUGCUGCAUGGUGGGGGUUGGAAAGUUUCGGCGGUUGGGGAUGGACUCGCGGCUUAUCAGCUUGUUGGUGGGGUAGUGGCUUACCAAGGCUUUGACGGGUAGCCGGCCUGAGAGGGUGACCGGCCACAUUGAGACUGAGAUACGGCCCAGACUCCUACGGGAGGCAGCAGUGGGGAAUAUUGCACAAUGGGCGGAAGCCUGAUGCAGCAACGCCGCGUGCGGGAUGACGGCCUUCGGGUUGUAAACCGCUUUCGCCUGUGACGAAGCGUGAGUGACGGUAAUGGGUAAAGAAGCACCGGCUAACUACGUG
rnacentral:rRNA from 1 species